rnacentral:rRNA from 1 species
GGGAUAACUCCGGGAAACCGGGGCUAAUACCGGAUGGUUGUUUGAACCGCAUGGUUCAAACAUAAAAGGUGGCUUCGGCUACCACUUACAGAUGGACCCGCGGCGCAUUAGCUAGUUGGUGAGGUAACGGCUCACCAAGGCAACGAUGCGUAGCCGACCUGAGAGGGUGAUCGGCCACACUGGGACUGAGACACGGCCCAGACUCCUACGGGAGGCAGCAGUAGGGAAUCUUCCGCAAUGGACGAAAGUCUGACGGAGCAACGCCGCGUGAGUGAUGAAGGUUUUCGGAUCGUAAAGCUCUGUUGUUAGGGAAGAACAAGUACCGUUCGAAUAGGGCGGUACCUUGACGGUACCUAACCAGAAAGCCACGGCUAACUACGUGCCAGCAGCCGCGGUAAUACGUASGUGGCAAGCGUUGUCCGGAAUUAUUSSSCSUAAAGGSCUCGCMKGCRGUUUCUUAAGUCUGAUGUGAAAGCCCCCGGCUCAACCGGGGAGGGUCAUUGGAAACUGGGGAACUUGAGUGCAGAAGAGGAGAGUGGAAUUCCACGUGUAGCGGUGAAAUGCGUAGAGAUGUGGAGGAACACCAGUGGCGAAGGCGACUCUCUGGUCUGUAACUGACGCUGAGGAGCGAAAGCGUGGGGAGCGAACAGGAUUAGAUACCCUGGUAGUCCACGCCGUAAACGAUGAGUGCUAAGUGUUAGGGGGUUUCCGCCCCUUAGUGCUGCAGCUAACGCAUUAAGCAACUCCCGGCCAU